ACGGAAGGCAGCAGUGAGGAAUAUUGGUCAAUGGGCGAGAGCCUGAACCAGCCAAGUAGCGUGAAGGAUGGCUGCCCUAUGGGUUGUAAACUUCUUUUGUUCGGGAAUAAAGGAGCCUACGCGUAGGCUUUUGCAUGUACCGUUCGAAUAAGCAUCGGCUAAUUCCGUGCCAGCAGCCGCGGUAAUACGGAAGAUGCGAGCGUUACCCGGAUUUAUUGGGUUUAAAGGGAGCGUAGGCGGCCUUUUAAGUCAGCGGUAAAAUGUCAGCGCCCAACGCUGGCCUGCCGCUGAUACUGAUGGGCUUGAAUACACACAAGGAAGGUGGAAUUCGUCGUGUAGCGGUGAAAUGCUUAGAUAUGACGAAGAACUCCGAUUGCGAAGGCAGCCUUCUGGAGUGCGAUUGACGCUGAGGCUCGAAAGUGCGGGUAUCGAACAGGAUUAGAUCCCUGGUA
rnacentral:rRNA from 1 species